CCCUAGAGGAGCCUGUUCCAUAAUCGAUAAACCCCGAUCUACCUCACCCUCUCUUGCUUAGCCUAUAUACCGCCAUCUUCAGCAAACCCUGAUAAAGGUUACAAAGUGAGCACAAACGCCCUGCCGCCGCAAAAACGUUAGGUCAAGGUGUAGCCCAUGAGAGGGUAAAAAUGGGCUACAUUUUCUACAUCAGAAAACCCCACGAAAACUCUUAUGAAACCUAAGAGUCCAAGGAGGAUUUAGCAGUAAAUUAAGAAUAGAGUGCUUAAUUGAACCAGGCCACAAAGCGCGUACACACCGCCCGUCACUCCCCUCAAAUAUAUUUAAGGAACAUCCUAACUAAGCGCCCUAAUAUUUAUAUAGAGGGGAUAAGUCGUAACAUGGUAAGUGUACUGGAAGGUGCACUUGGAC
rnacentral:rRNA from 1 species